AUUGAACGCUGGCGGCAGGCCUAACACAUGCAAGUCGAACGAGUGGCGGACGGGUGAGUAAUGUCUGGGACACUGCCCGAUGGAGGGGGAUAACUACUGGAAACGGUAGCUAAUACCGCAUACCAUCGGAUGUGCCCAGAUGGGAUGUGCUAGUAGGUGGGGUAACGGCUCACCUAGGCGACGAUCCCUAGCUGGUCUGAGAGGGUGACCAGCAACACUGGAACUGAGAAACGGUCCGAACUCCGACGGGAGGCAGAAGUGGGGAAUAUUGGAAAAUGGGCGCAAGCCUGAUGCAGCCAUGCCGCGUGUAUGAAGAAGGCCUUCGGGUUGUAAAGUACUUUCAGCGAGGAGGCGUUACUCGCAGAAGAAGCACCGGCUAACUCCGUGCCAGCAGCCGCGGUAAUUC
rnacentral:rRNA from 1 species